rnacentral:tRNA from 1 species
CGGGGCGUAGCGCAGUUUGGUUAGCGCGCCUGCCUUGGGAGCAGGAGGCCCCCAGUUCGAAUCUGGGCGCCCCGACCA